rnacentral:rRNA from 1 species
AUUGAACGCUGGCGGCAGGCCUAACACAUGCAAGUCGAGCGGUAGCACAGGGAGCUUGCUCCUGGGUGACGAGCGGCGGACGGGUGAGUAAUGUCUGGGAAACUGCCUGAUGGAGGGGGAUAACUACUGGAAACGGUAGCUAAUACCGCAUAACGUCGCAAGACCAAAGAGGGGGACCUUCGGGCCUCUUGCCAUCAGAUGUGCCCAGAUGGGAUUAGCUAGUAGGUGGGGUAACGGCGCACCUAGGCGACGAUCCCUAGCUGGUCUGAGAGGAUGACCAGCCACACUGGAACUGAGCAACGGUCCAGACUCCUACGGGAGGCAGCAGUGGGGAAUAUUGCACAAUGGGCGCAAGCCUGAUGCAGCCAUGCCGCGUGUAUGAAGAAGGCCUUCGGGUUGUAAAGUACUUUCAGCGAGGAGGAAGGUGUUGAGGUUAAUAACCUCAGCAAUUGACGUUACCCGCAGAGGAAGCACCGGCUAACUCCGUGCCAGCCGCCGCAGUAAAAC